rnacentral:rRNA from 1 species
UGAGCAAUCUGCCCUUCUCAUCGGAAUAAGCGUUGGAAACGACGUCUAAUGCCGAAUACGACCUCCUUUCGCAUGAUCGGAGGUGGAAAGCUCCGGCGGAGAAGGAUGAGCUCGCGGCCUAUCAGCUAGUUGGUGUGGGUAAUGGCCCACCAAGGCGACGACGGGUAGCCGGCCUGAGAGGGUGACCGGCCACACGUGGGACUGAGACACGGCCCAGACCUCCGUACGGGGAGCGAGGG